rnacentral:lncRNA from 1 species
UUUAAACUUGGUAUACUUUGUUGCAAUUCACAUGUUCCAAACUCCAAUGGUGCCUGUUACUUGAGAAUUUUACCUAUUGUGACGUGAUUCAGAAUGUGGAACUUUGCAUCAAGUUGCAUUUCUGGAAGUGUAGGUCUGAAAAAUGAUUGUCUAAAGCCAACUCACUCCGCUUCAGAAUGCUCUGACGAUGAGACUUCUAUGACGACCAGGGAGGAAGGGCUAGAAUGCCCAAUAUGCUGGGAAUCUUUUAACAUUGUUGAAAACGUUCCUUACUUUUUAUGGUGUGGCCACACCCUCUGUAAAAAUUGCAUCCUGGGACUGCAAUGGGCUAUGGUGAAAUUCUCAAUGAGCUAAUUUUGUGAAAAUUGUUGGAAUUCGGAGCAUGCUGUGAAAAGGGUUUGUUUGGGUUUGGGAGCUGGGAAGGGAUAUCAAAGAUUAUGAAAUGAUAAUCUGAAAUGGUGUGUGUUUCACAAUGUCAAUGUUUGUAAAUGGAACUAAUUUGACGGAUGAAUUAUAUAUCUUAAAGACUGGACUAGUUUGAUGGAAAAAAUGGCAUUCAAGGACCUUGAUCAUAUAUUUCACUGUUCAAGGAUGAAAAUGAAAAUAUUUGUAUUUCUUAGGAAUAAUUUGACUAUUUACUCAUUCUUGAUACUACCCAUUUUCUGAGGUAGGCCUAAAUUGUUUUUCAGGUUAAAAAGUCUACUAGGUUUUAUGGCCAUGUAUUGGUGUAAAAAGUGAAAGAAACUACUUUCAUAACUGCUUAGUAUAAUGGAUUAUAGUACUAUUAUACUAACUAAUUUAUUUGUAAUUGAUUAUGCUUUUUGGAUUGUUUUAAUGCAUGUACCAUGUGGUGUUGUUAUGGUUGAAAUCUUUGCAUUGAAAAAAUGGUAGUCAUGGAUUAUGACAUCCAACUUUAUUUCCCAGUUGUUUAUUCUUAUAGAAAGUGUAUGAAAUGCAUGUGUAAAAUUGACAUGAGUUCACAUUUAUGAUCUUUGGUAUCUGCAUAUGAUGAUGUACUUCAAACAGUUAUUUCAUUUCUGUUAAUACAACAUUUCUUAGUAUUGUAUGACGGUGUUACAGGAAGCUUUCUGACACUUAUUUUCGUUCAGGUUUAAACUUGGUAUACUUUGUUGCAAUUCACAUGUUCCAAACUCCAAAUGGUGCCUGUUACUUGAGAAUUUUACCUAUUGUGACGUGAUUCAGAAUGUGGAACUUUGCAUCAAGUUGCAUUUCUGGAAGUGUAGGUCUGAAAAAUGAUUGUCUAAAGCCAACUCACUCCGCUUCAGAAUGCUCUGACGAUGAGACUUCUAUGACGACCAGGGAGGAAGG